rnacentral:rRNA from 1 species
AUUGAACGCUGGCGGCAUGCUUUACACAUGCAAGUCGAACGGUAACAGGCCUUCGGGCGCUGACGAGUGGCGAACGGGUGAGUAAUGCAUCGGAACGUGCCCAGUCGUGGGGGAUAACGCAGCGAAAGCUGUGCUAAUACCGCAUACGAUCUGUGGAUGAAAGCGGGGGACCUUCGGGCCUCGCGCGAUUGGAGCGGCCGAUGUCAGAUUAGGUAGUUGGUGGGGUAAAGGCUCACCAAGCCAACGAUCUGUAGCUGGUCUGAGAGGACGACCGGCCACACUGGAACUGAGACACGGCCCAGACUCCUACGGGAGGCAGCAGUGGGGAAUUUUGGACAAUGGGCGAAAGCCUGAUCCAGCAAUGCCGCGUGCAGGAUGAAGGCCUUCGGGUUGUAAACUGCUUUUGUACGGAACGAAAAGCCCCGGGUUAAUACCCUGGGGUCAUGACGGUACCGUAAGAAUAAGCACCGGCUAACUACGUGCCAGCAGCCGCCGUAAUAC